rnacentral:tRNA from 1 species
GCCCCAGUAGCUCAGCUCGGUAGAGCGACGGUCUUGUAAACCGUUGGUCAGGGGUUCAAAGCCCCUCUGGGGCUCCA